rfam:Bombyx mori DNA, contig: Bm_scaf23_contig15629, strain: p50T/Dazao, build 2, whole genome shotgun sequence.
UUAAUUAAUAUUUGUAUGGAGUUGGAACCUUUGCUUAAGUUUGCCACUAGGGGCGCUGUUCCAACUGCAUACAAAUUUGAGUUA